GUGGGGAAUCUUGCGCAAUGGGCGAAAGCCUGACGCAGCCAUGCCGCGUGAAUGAUGAAGGUCUUAGGAUUGUAAAAUUCUUUCACCGGGGACGAUAAUGACGGUACCCGGAGAAGAAGCCCCGGCUAACUUCGUGCCAGCAGCCGCGGUAAUACGAAGGGGGCUAGCGUUGCUCGGAAUUACUGGGCGUAAAGGGCGCGCAGGCGGACAGUUUAGUCAGAGGUGAAAGCCCAGGGCUCAACCUUGGAAUUGCCUUUGAUACUGGCUGUCUUGAGUACGGGAGAGGUGAGUGGAACUCCGAGUGUAGAGGUGAAAUUCGUAGAUAUUCGGAAGAACACCAGUGGCGAAGGCGACUCACUGGCCCGUUACUGACGCUGAGGCGCGAAAGCGUGGGGAGCAAACAGGAUUAGAUACCCCAGUAGUCC
rnacentral:rRNA from 1 species